rnacentral:rRNA from 1 species
UAUCAAUAAGCGGAGGAAAAGAAACCAACAGGGAUUGCCCUAGUAACGGCGAGUGAAGCGGCAACAGCUCAAAUUUGAAAUCUGGCGUCUUCGGCGUCCGAGUUGUAAUUUGUAGAGGAUGCUUCUGGGUUGUCACCGGUUUAAGUUCCCUGGAACGGGACGUCAUAGAGGGUGAGAAUCCCGUGUGUGACCGGCCGACUCCCUCCACGUAGCUCCUUCGACGAGUCGAGUUGUUUGGGAAUGCAGCUCUAAAUGGGAGGUAAAUUUCUUCUAAAGCUAAAUAUCUGCCAGAGACCGAUAGCGCACAAGUAGAGUGAUCGAAAGAUGAAAAGCACUUUGGAAAGAGAGUUAAAAAGCACGUGAAAUUGUUGAAAGGGAAGCGUUUGCAAUCAGACUUGUCUGCGGCGUUCAGCCGGUCUUUUGACCGGCCUACUCGUCGUAAGCAGGCCAGCAUCACUUGGUGCCGCGGGAUAAUAACUUUGGAAUGUGGCUCCUCGGAGUGUUAUAGCCAAUGUUGAUGCCGCGCGCGCCGAGUGAGGUCCGCGUUCGCUAGGAUGCUGGCGUAAUGGUUGUAAACGGCCCGUCUUGAAACACGG